AUUGAACGCUGGCGGCAUGCCUUACACAUGCAAGUCGAACGGCAGCACGGAGCUUGCUCUGGUGGCGAGUGGCGAACGGGUGAGUAAUAUAUCGGAACGUACCCUAGAGUGGGGGAUAACGUAGCGAAAGUUACGCUAAUACCGCAUACGAUCUAAGGAUGAAAGUGGGGGAUCGCAAGACCUCAUGCUCGUGGAGCGGCCGAUAUCUGAUUAGCUAGUUGGUAGGGUAAAAGCCUACCAAGGCAUCGAUCAGUAGCUGGUCUGAGAGGACGACCAGCCACACUGGAACUGAGACACGGUCCAGACUCCUACGGGAGGCAGCAGUGGGGAAUUUUGGACAAUGGGCGAAAGCCUGAUCCAGCAAUGCCGCGUGAGUGAAGAAGGCCUUCGGGUUGUAAAGCUCUUUUGUCAGGGAAGAAACGGUGAGAGCUAAUAUCUCUUGCUAAUGACGGUACCUGAAGAAUAAGCACCGGCUAACUACGUGCCAGCAGCCGCGGUAAUACGUAGGGUGCAAGCGUUAAUCGGAAUUACUGGGCGUAAAGCGUGCGCAGGCGGUUUUGUAAGUCUGAUGUGAAAUCCCCGGGCUCAACCUGGGAAUUGCAUUGGAGACUGCAAGGCUAGAAUCUGGCAGAGGGGGGUAGAAUUCCACGUGUAGCAGUGAAAUGCGUAGAUAUGUGGAGGAACACCGAUGGCGAAGGCAGCCCCCUGGGUCAAGAUUGACGCUCAUGCACGAAAGCGUGGGGAGCAAACAGGAUUAGAUACCCUGGUAGUCCACGCCCUAAACGAUGUCUACUAGUUGUCGGGUCUUAAUUGACUUGGUAACGCAGCUAACGCGUGAAGUAGACCGCCUGGGGAGUACGGUCGCAAGAUUAAAACUCAAAGGAAUUGACGGGGACCCGCACAAGCGGUGGAUGAUGUGGAUUAAUUCGAUGCAACGCGAAAAACCUUACCUACCCUUGACAUGGCUGGAAUCCUUGAGAGAUCAGGGAGUGCUCGAAAGAGAACCAGUACACAGGUGCUGCAUGGCUGUCGUCAGCUCGUGUCGUGAGAUGUUGGGUUAAGUCCCGCAACGAGCGCAACCCUUGUCAUUAGUUGCUACGAAAGGGCACUCUAAUGAGACUGCCGGUGACAAACCGGAGGAAGGUGGGGAUGACGUCAAGUCCUCAUGGCCCUUAUGGGUAGGGCUUCACACGUCAUACAAUGGUACAUACAGAGCGCCGCCAACCCGCGAGGGGGAGCUAAUCGCAGAAAGUGUAUCGUAGUCCGGAUUGUAGUCUGCAACUCGACUGCAUGAAGUUGGAAUCGCUAGUAAUCACGGAUCAGCAUGUCGCGGUGAAUACGUUCCCGGGUCU
rnacentral:rRNA from 1 species